rnacentral:rRNA from 1 species
GUUUGAUCAUGGCUCAGAUUGAACGCUGGCGGCAGGCUUAACACAUGCAAGUCGAGCGGAGAGAGGUAGCUUGCUACUGAUCUUAGCGGCGGACGGGUGAGUAAUGCUUAGGAAUCUGCCUAUUAGUGGGGGACAACAUUUCGAAAGGAAUGCUAAUACCGCAUACGUCCUACGGGAGAAAGCAGGGGAUCUUCGGACCUUGCGCUAAUAGAUGAGCCUAAGUCGGAUUAGCUAGUUGGUGGGGUAAAGGCCUACCAAGGCGACGAUCUGUAGCGGGUCUGAGAGGAUGAUCCGCCACACUGGGACUGAGACACGGCCCAGACUCCUACGGGAGGCAGCAGUGGGGAAUAUUGGACAAUGGGCGCAAGCCUGAUCCAGCCAUGCCGCGUGUGUGAAGAAGGCCUUAUGGUUGUAAAGCACUUUAAGCGAGGAGGAGGCUACUUUAGUUAAUACCUAGAGAUAGUGGACGUUACUCGCAGAAUAAGCACCGGCUAACUCUGUGCCAGCAGCCGCGGUAAUACAGAGGGUGCAAGCGUUAAUCGGAUUUACUGGGCGUAAAGCGCGCGUAGGCGGCUAAUUAAGUCAAAUGUGAAAUCCCCGAGCUUAACUUGGGAAUUGCAUUCGAUACUGGUUAGCUAGAGUGUGGGAGAGGAUGGUAGAAUUCCAGGUGUAGCGGUGAAAUGCGUAGAGAUCUGGAGGAAUACCGAUGGCGAAGGCAGCCAUCUGGCCUAACACUGACGCUGAGGUGCGAAAGCAUGGGGAGCAAACAGGAUUAGAUACCCUGGUAGUCCAUGCCGUAAACGAUGUCUACUAGCCGUUGGGGCCUUUGAGGCUUUAGUGGCGCAGCUAACGCGAUAAGUAGACCGCCUGGGGAGUACGGUCGCAAGACUAAAACUCAAAUGAAUUGACGGGGGCCCGCACAAGCGGUGGAGCAUGUGGUUUAAUUCGAUGCAACGCGAAGAACCUUACCUGGCCUUGACAUAGUAAGAACUUUCCAGAGAUGGAUUGGUGCCUUCGGGAACUUACAUACAGGUGCUGCAUGGCUGUCGUCAGCUCGUGUCGUGAGAUGUUGGGUUAAGUCC